rfam:Schistosoma haematobium scaffold280_15, whole genome shotgun sequence.
GCAUUGCUGAGGAGUUGCACAAUAAGACGAAACGGCCGUACAGUGC